GCCCGGUUUAGCCUAACACCACCCCCGGCCGUCCUGCCUCGCCUCUCUGUUUCCCUGGAGACGCUCUCGGCGUCUCCUCUCUACGCGCCGGCGGAGCCAGGCCUUGGAAUCACUCAGAGAGGAGGGGGCAGCGCCAACGCCCAGCACCUGCCGCCGGUGGGGGACUGACUUCGGCGGAACGGAAAACUGGAGUUGUUUCCCUGGGCCAGUGCACCGAGGCUGAAGUCUAUAAGCUUGGAGAGACCAUUAGCAGUAAUCUGCAAAUUCCGAAAUGACCACCCUGCCCUCACUGCCCAUGACACGCCCGAAGCUUACAGCCUUAGCCAGACAGAAGCUGCCUUGCUCCUCCAGAAAAAUUCCAAGGUCUCAAUUGAUCAAAGAAAAAGAUGACAUAGAUCAUUAUCUAGAGGUGAAUUUCAAAGGAUUAUCAAAAGAGGAGGUUGCAGCUUAUAGGAACUCCUACAAGAAGAAUAUCUGUGUGGACAUGCUGCGAGAUGGUUAUCAUAAGUCCUUCACCGAGCUCUUCGCUCUGAUGGAGCAGUGGGAUGCCCUGAGGGAGGCUGCGAGAGUCAGGUCCCUCUUCUGGCUGCAGAAGCCCCUGGAGGAGCAGCCUGAUAAACUGGAUUACUUCUACCAUUACCUGACCAGGGCUGAGGACGCUGAGAGGAAAGAAUCCUUCGAAGAUGUAUAUAAUAACUUGUAUGCUCUGGCCUGUUACUUCGAUAAUUCUGAAGACAAGUGGGUAAGGAACCACUUCUAUGAACGAUGUUUUAAGAUUGCUCAGCUGAUCAAAAUUGACUGUGGGAAGAAAGAAGCUGAGGCACACAUGCAUAUGGGUCUUCUCUACGAGGAAGAUGGUCAGCUUCUGGAAGCUGCUGAGCAUUAUGAAGCAUUCCAUCAAUUGACGCAGGGGCGGAUAUGGAAGGAUGAGACAGGCCGCUCUCUCAACUUGUUGGCCUGUGAGAGUCUCCUGAGGACUUACAGAUUACUCUCAGACAAAAUGCUAGAAAAUAAAGAAUACAAACAGGCCAUCAAAAUUCUAAUAAAAGCUUCUGAAAUAGCCAAAGAAGGAAGUGACAAAAAGAUGGAAGCGGAAGCCUCUUACUACUUGGGCUUAGCACACUUAGCUGCUGAGGAAUAUGAAACAGCAUUAACAGUCCUUGACACUUACUGUAAAAUCUCCACAGACCUGGAUGAUGAUCUCAGUCUAGGGAAAGGCUAUGAAGCCAUAGCCAAGGUCCUGCAGAGCCAAGGAGAGAUGACAGAAGCAAUUAAAUACUUGAAAAAAUUUGUGAAAAUUGCAAGAAACAAUUUUCAAAGCCUAGAUUUUGUGAGAGCAAGUACAAUGCUUGGGGACAUCUACAAUGAAAAAGGAUACUACAACAAAGCUUCUGAAUGCUUUCAGCAAGCUUUUGACACAACAGUAGAGCUAAUGAGCAUGCCUCUGAUGGAUGAGACAAAAGUUCACUAUGGAAUAGCAAAAGCUCAUCAGAUGAUGCUUACAGUGAACCACUAUAUAGAGUCUGCAGAUCUCACAAGCCUCAACUACCUGCUGUCAUGGAAGGAGAGCAGAGGUGACAUUGAACCUGAUCCAGUUACUGGAAGAUGACAGUUCCUCCCUCACAAGGUUGCCUUGAGGAUCCACUGACAGAAUUCACCUGUUGGCCACCUGCCUAGUGGCCAUUGCCCGACUUCUUACCUGACAACAGAAUUCUUACCGGUUUUUCCUCUUCAAGGUCCCACGUACUUAAAGGGAGGGAGCACAAAAUAAGGAAUUCCCCUUUUCCUGAUUUUAAAUGUUGAUGCAUGAAUAUGUGAUGCCUGGAGCAACCAUAGCCAACUUGCAACCAAGCUAUCAAAGUGCUGAGGAUGGCAACGAGAAAGCACAGAAGGAAUCAGAUGCGUAACAAGUUCCGGGCAUGCCAAAGUAACCAACCCUGUAAUUACCACCACUACUUUCUAUUAAUGUGAGAUAAAUGUCCCCAUUUCUCUUUGUAUUUUAUUAUUUUUAAUUGACAAAAACAAAUUAUAUAUAUUUAUAAUGUACAACAUGAUGUUUUGAAACAUGUA